rnacentral:rRNA from 1 species
UACAGAGGGUGCGAGCGUUAAUCGGAAUUACUGGGCGUAAAGCGUGCGCAGACGGUUGCGUAAGUCAGAUGUGAAAGCCCCGGGCUCAACCUGGGAAUUGCAUUUGAGACUGCGUAGCUAGGGUCCGGAAGAGGUGAGUGGAACUCCUAGUGUAGAGGUGGAAUUCGUAGAUAUUAGGAAGAACACCAGUGGCGAAGGCGGCUCACUGGUCCGGUACUGACGCUGAGGUGCGAAAGCGUGGGGAGCAAACAGG